rnacentral:rRNA from 1 species
UACGAAGGUGGCAAGCGUUGUUCGGAUUCACUGGGCGUACAGGGAGCGUAGGCGGUUGGGUAAGCCCUCGUGAAAUCUCCGGGCUACCCGGAAAGUGCAGAGGGGACUGCUCAGCUAGAGGAUGGGAGAGGAGCGCGGAAUUCCCGGUGUAGCGGUGAAAUGCGUAGAUAUCAGGAGGAACACCGAUGGCGAAGGCAGCUCUCUGGGGCGGCCCUGACGCUGAGGCGCG